GUUGGAGUGGUGUAGUGGCAGCACGUCUGACUUUGAAUCAGGAGGCGCGGGUUCGAUCCCCGUCUCCAGCACCC
rnacentral:tRNA from 1 species